AACGACCAAGGUAGAGUAGGAAUUUCACGCUGAUAAAAAUCAUCCCUUUCCAUGCUCUAGAACCAUCCGGUGCUCUCUUUAGCCAUUCCAUUGAUGACCAUCAAUUCAAUAUACCUAAAAACUCUCUCUAUUUCUCCUGCUGCUUUCCCUCACCCCCCACCCCACCACCACUAUCACCGUCCUCCUCCGAUGAAUCUCUGUGAGAGAUUGGAAAGUUUCAAGUUUCGUUAUGGAUGAAUUUGCCUGUGUGAAGCUACUAUGUAGAAAUUUGAAGCAAAGACCAACUAAGGGCAAUGCUGUAAAUAUCUCCAUUUUCAAGGAUAAGCUUGUUUUUUAAAUCAAACCACGAAGUUUCCUUUUCUAAAUCUUUCUCUGUCUCUCUCUAAACUUUUCUUAAAACAUCAAACAAAAACAAAAAAAUCCAAGGCAGUAUCGGAAAAAUGGCGUGUGGCGAUGGUGCUGCUGAUUCGAUGGACAUGGCACAAAGAGUUAAUAUCAAUGCGAUCACUUCAAAAACAGAAGAGUCGACCUGCAAAGUACAGAUUGUUGAUAAAAGACGCCUAAUAUAAACUACAGAAUGAAGAGUUGAUCAUUCUUCAUCGAGUGGAAUGCUUCUGUUUCCUAAGAGCACGUACCAGCCCAGGAACAUGAGGCGCAAAAGGACACAUGGUUUCGUUGCUCGGUGGUUGUUUUUGGCUUUGACAUUUGGUUUUCUAUCAUAGGCGGUUUCAGUUUGUUAAUAUCUAUGUAUGUCAAUGGUAUCAACAUUUCACAACAAUCCGGUUACUUUGCCAAUAGGUGUUUCACCGUGAAUGCUCGAGACAUUGAUUACAACAACUAUUGCAUCUACUAUUGUAGAUGUAGAAUUUAUAAAUAUUAUCCCUAGCAAUGUAAAUAAACAACAAUCAAUCACUAUCAUAUGUAAAAGUGAGCAUCCAAUAGUAUGUUA